rnacentral:tRNA from 1 species
GGCUUUGUAGCGGAAUUUUAAGACGUUAGAUUGCAAAUCUGAAGAUGCACGUUGUUGCCGAAGCUU